CGAACCAGCUCCCCUCAGGUUGGGCUUAAUAAAUGCCAGAUCGGUGGCGAAUAAGACCUUCAUCCUGAAGGAUUUCUUUUCUUCCCAUGCAUUGGAUUUCCUCUGUUUGACUGAAACCUGGACUUCACCCGGUGAUUGGUCUUCCUUCACACUUUGUCUCAUGCACCACUGAGGACUACUACUACUACUAGAGAGAAGUAGGACGGCUGGCCCAACUCUUCUUCCUGUUGUAAACUGUCAUGGUUUAAUAUCAACAAAAAGCAAUGAAAAAUGGAAAAAUAAUGAACAUGAAUGUCAAUUUACCUUGGAAUGCCAGUCAGUUAUUAACUAAAAACAUUAUUUUAUUGGAGUCUCCAUUAUAAUCACAGUAAUGGACUACUGAUUACAUCACAAAACAAUCACUGGUGAUAUAUCACACUAUCUCUGUAAGUGAGGAAGAAAGCAUACCC
ensembl:lncRNA